rnacentral:rRNA from 1 species
CCUACGGGUGGCAGCAGUGGGGAAUAUUGCACAAUGGGGGAAACCCUGAUGCAGCGACGCCGCGUGAGUGAAGAAGUAUCUCGGUACGUAAAGCUCUAUCAGCAGGGAAGAAAAUGACGGUACCUGACUAAGAAGCACCGGCUAACUACGUGCCAGCAGCCGCGGUAAUACGUAGGGGGCAAGCGUUAUUCGGAUUUACUGGGUGGAAAGGGAGCGUAGACGGGAGAACAAGUCUGGAGUGAAAUCCCAGGGCUUAACCCCGGAACUGCUUUGGAAACUGUGCGGCUGGAGUGCAGGAGGGGUAAGCGGAAUUCCUAGUGUAGCGGUGAAAUGCGUAGAUAUUAGGAGGAACACCGGUGGCGAAGGCGGCUUACUGGACUGUAACUGACGUUGAGGCUCGAAAGCGUGGGGAGCAAACAGGAUUAGAUACCCGUGUAGUC